GGGGACUAGGCGCGCCAUAAGCCCAAAAAAAUUAAGUGGUCUACUCUCUUUGUAAUUAAAACCAAAAAAGUUGGCUGUCUGCCAUUAAUACUAAAAUUAAAGAAACCCUCCCAUUUCUUUAAUCCCAUUCUGCCGAAUUCAAAAAAGAAAACCAAGGGGUUCGACCCCCUUUCUCCUUCUGCUAGGGCGCAGCGCCCAUCAUCGCAGCGCUUCCCCUCCCCUGCGCGCUCAUCAGCAACCGUCGGAAACCAGGUGUUGUUGUGGAUAUCUCGGAAGCAUGAGGUGUGACAAAGAGGGACUGCUGAUAGCGCACGUCUCGAAGGUGCGGUGGAUGGUGGAGUGGGACGCUGGUGAGGGGCGUAUGGCGCGAGGGCUCAAGCAACAACUUUAGGUUUCUAUUUGUUUGGGCCUUGUUUGGGUUUAUUUUUGGGCCUGUGUUUUAGAUGUAAAUGGGUCUUGGGUUUGUGAGCUUUGGGCCUGGGUAUAAAUUUGGUCCUACAGCUGUCCUUAUUUGCUCAUUGUCGUGUAACGAGAAUAGAGCAAAGAUUUUAGAAGGGCCAAAUUUGCCUGGGCUAGCUGAGUCUUGUCUUAUUUGCCGCAAUCCACCGCACCUUAUAUCUUCAAAACGCUCCGUUGUUGUUUCACGGAGAUGUGAUCUGCUGUAAUUUGAUCUGCUUUACUUCUGCUCAGUAAAGAUAAGAUCUGGUAUGUUUAGCCUGCUCCACUCUUGCUUAGCAAAUAUAAGGCUGGUGGCUGAAAUCUGCUCCAUUGCUGAUACAUGGAGAUAAAAUUCACCAAAAUUUGAUCUGCUCCGCUCCUACUCAGCGAAGAUAAGAUCUAGUAUAUAGCCUGCUCCACUCCUGCUUAGUGAAGAUAAGGCUGGUGGCUGAAAUCUGCUCCAUUUCCGAUACAUGGAGAUAAGACUUGCCAAAAUUUGAUCUGCUUCACUCUUGCUCAGUGAAGAUAAGAUCUGGUAUUUAGCUCGCUCACUCUCUUUCGGUGAAGAUAAGGUUUGGUGGCUAAAAUCGCUCCAUUCUUAGAUACAUGGAGAUAAGACUUGCCAAAAUUUGAUCUGCUUCACUUCUGCUCAGUGAAGAUAAGAUCUGGUAUAUAGACUGCUCCACUUCUGCUCAGUGAAGAUAAGGCUGGUGGCUGAAAUCUGCUCCAUUGCCCACUAGGGAAUCCAUCUGUAGAAGAGUGAUAUGCUUAUGCUAGAUGAUUAGGAUGCCAUGAUUAAUAUGAAUCAAAUACUCCUAACUACAUGUAUUAUGGAUGUUAAAUGCACAAAAUGCAAAAUGUCAUGAGAAUGAUCAAUUUUAAUUUUUGGGUUGUCAUCGCUCAUUGUUUACUAAGGUAACAUCCUUGACAUAUGCCUUCUUGUUCAGCUUGGUAGAAGAGGACUUGGAGAUGCAGUUAAUUCCUUAUUUCUCACACGUUUCUAGCCCUUUUAAGCUCGGUGAGUUCUAAAUAAUUAUCCUGUUUCAGGUUCUUGUACUGUUUAGAAACCUUUCAGAGUAAUAUGCAAGCCCUUCUUCUGAGAGCAUUAUUAGUUUAUUAAUCAUUAUUUCAAUAAAAAUACUCGAAAAAGAUUAUAAUGAUAGGAAGAACUGAAAUUGAUUCGAGUCAAAAUUUGCGAAAGAUGUAUCAACAAAGAAAGCAGACAUUGUUUGAUAUACAAAAACGGAUAAAAAGGAAUAGAA